AUGUGCCUAGGGAGGCAGCAGUGGGGAAUAUUGGUCAAUGGGCGCGAGCCUGAACCAGCCAAGUCGCGUGAGGGAAGACGGUCCUAUGGAUUGUAAACCUCUUUUGUCGGGGAGGAAAAGACGCCACGUGUGGCGUUCCGAGAGUACCCGAAGAAAAAGCAUCGGCUAACUCCGUGCCAGCAGCCGCGGUAAUACGGAGGAUGCGAGCGUUAUCCGGAUUUAUUGGGUUUAAAGGGUGCGCAGGCGGAAGAUCAAGUCAGCGGUAAAAUUGAGAGGCUCAACCUCUUCGAGCCGUUGAAACUGGU
rnacentral:rRNA from 1 species